GGGGAAUAUUGCACAAUGGGCGAAAGCCUGAUGCAGCAACGCCGCGUGAGUGAAGAAGGUUUUCGGAUUGUAAAGCUCUGUCAUCUGGGACGAUAAUGACGGUACCAGAUGAGGAAGCCACGGCUAACUACGUGCCAGCAGCCGCGGUAAUACGUAGGUGGCAAGCGUUGUCCGGAAUUACUGGGCGUAAAGGGUGCGCAGGCGGACAUUUAAGUGAGAUGUGAAAGACCCGGGCUUAACUUGGGCAGUGCAUUUCAAACUGGAUGUCUGGAGUGCAGGAGAGGAGAGCGGAAUUCCUAGUGUAGCGGUGAAAUGCGUAGAGAUUAGGAAGAACACCAGUGGCGAAGGCGGUUCUCUGGACUGUAACUGACGCUGAGGCACGAAAGCGUGGGUAGCAAAC
rnacentral:rRNA from 1 species